rnacentral:misc_RNA from 1 species
GCUGAAUGCUGGUGUCCGGUCCUACUUCCAUAUACAGAACAGGAAUGCAUCAAAGUUUCUUCAAACUCAGCUGUUCCCUGACAAAUCUGAGCAGGGCGAGUACUCAUCACUUCACCCUUACGUUUCCAAUUUACACACAAAGAAAGGUCCUUGAAAUUGACGGGCAAUCCUUUUAUGGAAUGAACAUGAAGAAAGAAACAACAACUGAACCGUCGAUGGAGGAUAUGAGUUAGAACCUUUAAUGGCUUCCAACUCCAUAUUGAUGAUUUCUUCUGUUUAUGCAGCAUGUAAUCAGCAAUACUGGAACUGUAUUUGGAGACAUGGAUAUCACCAACGGAAUCAUGCCCAUUAUCUGCUUGAAAAGUUAAAGCCUUCUGAGGGGAUUUAUGUACAUAAAGAGCUUUACUAAUUUCUUCAAUGUCACGCAAGAAUCGCCCACCAUUCAGAUCCCCACUAUUGUUUUUCCAAGACAUCUUCUUAUUCACAGGUGAGAUCCAUCUGUUAAACAAAACUCGAAAUCUUCAAAAGCUCCAUCGGAAUCCAUGGACGGAGCUGCUG